UACGUAGGUGGCAAGCGUUAUCCGGAUCUACUGGGUGUAAAGGGGGCGCAGACGGCGAUGCAAGCCAGGAGUGAAAGCCCGGGGCCCAACCCCGGGACUGCUCUUGGAACUGCGUGGCUGGAGUACAGGAGGGGCAGGCGGAAUUCCUGGUGUAGCGGUGAAAUGCGUAGAUAUCAGGAGGAACACCGGUGGCGAAGGCGGCCUGCUGGACUGCAACUGACGUUGAGGCCCGAAAGCGUGGGGAGCAAACAGG
rnacentral:rRNA from 1 species